UCGUGGAGUGAUUUGUCUGCUUAAUUGCGAUAACGAACGAGACCUUAACCUGCUAAAUAGCCAGGCUAGCUUUGGCUGGUCGCCGGCUUCUUAGAGGGACUAUCGGCUCAAGCCGAUGGAAGUUGAGGCAAUAACA
rnacentral:rRNA from 1 species